AAAUCUACAGAGAGGAAAAAACAAAAACCUGAAUUUUACAUCUUUUUUUUUUUUUUCUUUGAGGCGAAGUCUUGUUUUGUCGCCCAGGCUGGAGUGCAGUGGCGCGAUCUCAGCUCAUUGCAACCUCUGCCUCCUGGGGUCAAACUAUUCUCCUGCCUCAGCCUCCUGAGCAGCUGGGACUACAGGCGCGCACCACCAUGCCCGGCUAAUUUUUGUAUUAGUAGAGACAGGGUUUUACCAUAUUGGCCAGGCUGGUCUUGAACACCUGAUCUCAUGAUUUGACCCCAUCAGCCUCCCAAAAUGCUGGGAUUACAGGCGUGAGCCACUGUGCCUGGCCAACUACACUUUAUCUUAAGAAUAUUAAGUGGAUAAAUGAGAUAGGGAAUUAACAGGCAGACCUCAAAAACCUCUGAAAGAUGACUGGUUUAAAAGUUCAGGGAAAUGCCACAAGGUGGAGAAUACAAAAGACCUAGGCGUUGGGGAAGCUUUGCACAUAUCCCUGGAGCAUGCCAGAGAGAGGCAGCCAGGCACCUAAGGCCCUAGUUUUUGCUUCCUUAUUUUCAAGGGCCAGGGCUCCCAAUGCAACUGAUAAGAGACGAUAUGGGGUUUUGUUGGUGGCAGUCUUUUCUUAAGAGACAGGGUCUUGUUCUGUUGCCCAGGCUGGAGUACAGCAGCAUGAUCACAGUUCACUGCAGCCUCGAAUUCCUGGGUGCAUGCGGUCCUCCCACCUCAGCCUCCUGAGUAGCUGGAACUAUAGGAUCCUACGCCUGCCUAAUUUUAAUUUUUGUGUGUGUGUGUGAGAAAGGGUCUCACUGUGUUGCCCAGGCUGGUCUCAAACUCCUGGGCUCAAGUGGUUCUCCCACCUUGGCCUCUCAAAGUGCUGGGACUACAGGUGUGAGCCACCAGGCCUGGCCUAGAGAUGAUUUAUUCACCACCAAGUACACCCUGAGACAUACACUUUGGAGGCCAAGGCGGGUGGAUCACCUGAGGUCAGGAGUUCAAGACCACCCUGACCAACCCCGUCUUAAAAAAAGAAAAAAUUUACACUCCCAGCAACAGUGUAAAAGUGCUCCUAUUUUUCCACAUCCUCUCCAGCAUCUGUUGUCUCCAGAUUUUUUAAUGAUCGCCAUUCUAACUGGCGAGAGAUGGUAUCUCAACGUGGUUUUGAUUUGCAUCUCUCUAAUGACCAGUGCUGAUGAGCAUUUUUUCAUGUUUGUUGGCCUCAUGUAUGUCUUCUUUUGUAAAGUGUCUGUUUAUAUCCUUUGCCCAUUUUUGAAUGGGCUUGUUUUUAUCUUGUUUUAUCUUGUAAAUCUGUUUUAGUUCUUUGUAGAUUCUGUUUUAGUUCUUUGUAGAUUUGUCAGAUGGGUAAACUGCAAAAAUUUUUUUCCCAUUCUGUUGGUUGCUGAUUCACUCUAAUGACUGUUUCUUUUGCCGUGCAGAAGCUGUGGAGUUUGAUUAGGUCCCAUUUGUCUAUUUUGGCUUUUGUUGCCAAUGCUUUUGGUGUUUUGGUCAUGAAGUCCUUGCCUACUCCUAUGUCCUGAAUGGUUUUGCCUAGAUUUUCUACUUUUACACUGCUGGUGGGAGUGUAAAUUAGUUCAACCAUUGUGGAAGACAGUGUGGCGAUUCCUCAAGGACCUAGAAAUAGAAAUUCCACUUGACCCAGCAAUCCCAUUACUGGGUAUAUAUUUAAAAGAUUAUAAAUCAUUCUACUGUAAGGACACAUGCACAUGAAUGUUCACUGCAGCACAGUUUACAAUAGCAAAGACCUGGAAACAACCCAAAUGCCCAUCAAUGAUAGACUGGACAGGGAAAAUGUGGCACAUAUACACCAUGGAAUAUUAUGCAGCCAUCAAAAACGAUGAGUUUGUGUCCUUUGUAGGGACAUGGAUGAACCAGGACACCAUCAUUCUCAGCAAACUGAUGCAAGAACAGAAAAUCAAACACCGCAUGUUCUCACUUAUAGGUCAAAUGAAAAGCCAAUCACAGAAGACAUUUUCUUGCCCUCACCUGUAAGCUUCAUCUAAAGACAUGUCCAUCCUCUUCAUGAUGUAGGCGAUAGCGAUGGUGGCAGAGCGGGAGAUCCCAGCCAAACAGUGCACUAGGACACAUCCAUUGGAGGCUUUUGCUUUCUCUGUAUGAGUCAAAUUCAAGAAAGGUCACUACUAACAAUUGUGGUCAGCAGUGAAAUCUUGUUUCCAUUUAUUUACUCAGUGUCUUCCACCUAAAAACCUCUAAGCAAAUCUCAUCUGUUUACAUCCUAUUUAUCCUUGCAAUAUUCUUCUGAGGAGGUGGGGGAGGAGAAUUCCCUCACCAUUGACAUGCAGGACAGCUGGGGUCCAAAACUCUUUGUUAAUAAGCAAGCUUUUACUCACGUUUCCUGACUUACAUCAAUACUUCCCCUACUAAGACAUGGCUAAUGUUUAAUCGUGUUAUCUGACAUUUCCAAUUUUUCACUGAUUACAUAAGUGAUGUAAUUAAAAUUUUAAAUUAUUAUUAUUUUGA